rnacentral:rRNA from 1 species
CAGCGCCACGAGUGGCAAUCGCGAUUAUUGGGCCUAAAGCGUCCGUAGCCGGUUCGGUAAAUCCUUUGUGAAAUCGCCAAGCUUAACUUGGCGGCGUGCAGGGGACACUGCCGAACUCGAGACCGGGAGGAGUUAGAAGUAUUUUGGGGGAGCGGUAAAAUGCUAUAAUCCCAGAAGGACUACCGAUGGCGAAGGCAUCUAACUAGAACGGAUCUGACGGUGAGGGACGAAAGCCAGGGGAGCGAACCGGAUUAGAUACCCGAGUAGUCC